rnacentral:rRNA from 1 species
GUAGCAAUACUUUGGUGGCGACCGGCGCACGGGUGAGUAACGCGUAUGCAACCUACCUAUCAGAGGGGAAUAACCCGGCGAAAGUCGGACUAAUACCGCAUAAAACAGGGACACCGCAUGGUGAUAUUUGUUAAAGAAAUUCGCUGAUAGAUGGGCAUGCGUUCCAUUAGGUAGUUGGUGAGGUAACGGCUCACCAAGCCGACGAUGGAUAGGGGAACUGAGAGGUUGGUCCCCCACACUGGUACUGAGACACGGACCAGACUCCUACGGGAGGCAGCAGUGAGGAAUAUUGGUCAAUGGGCGAGAGCCUGAACCAGCCAAGUCGCGUGAAGGAAGAAGGAUCUAUGGUUCGUAAACUUCUUUUGCAGGGGAAUAAAGCGCAGGACGUGUCCUGUUUUGUAUGUACCCUGAGAAUAAGGAUCGGCUAACUCCGUGCCAGCAGCCGCGGUAAUACGGAGGAUCCGAGCGUUAUCCGGAUUUAUUGGGUUUAAAGGGUGCGUAGGUGGUUUGAUAAGUCAGCGGUGAAAGUUUGCAGCUUAACUGUAAAAAUGCCGUUGAAACUGUCGGACUUGAGUGUAAAUGAGGUAGGCGGAAUGCGUGGUGUAGCGGUGAAAUGCUUAGAUAUCACGAAGAACUCCGAUUG